UCCUACGGGGAGCAGCAGUAAGGAAUAUUGGUCAAUGGGCGGAAGCCUGAACCAGCCAUGCCGCGUGCAGGAAGACGGCCCUACGGGUUGUAAACUGCUUUUGCAGGGGAAUAAACCCCGGUACGUGUACCGGGCUGAAUGUACUCUGAGAAUAAGGAUCGGCUAACUCCGUGCCAGCAGCCGCGGUAAUACGGAGGAUCCAAGCGUUAUCCGGAUUUAUUGGGUUUAAAGGGUGCGUAGGCGGCUUUUUAAGUCAGGGGUGAAAGACGGUGGCUCAACCAUCGCAGUGCCUUUGAUACUGAAGAGCUUGAAUACACUAGAGGUAGGCGGAAUGUGACAAGUAGCGGUGAAAUGCAUAGAUAUGUCACAGAACACCGAUUGCGAAGGCAGCUUACUAUGGUGCAAUUGACGCUGAGGCACGAAAGCGUGGGGAUCAAACAGGAUUAGAUACCCUGGUAG
rnacentral:rRNA from 1 species